AAGACUAUAGACCUGCGGAGUACCUGCGGAGGGAUCAUUAACGAGUUUGAAGCGCCCCUUUGGUUGAGCUGGUCGCAAGGCAUGUGCUCGCCGAAGGGAAGCGUUCACUUCUCCCAAUCUCCCCUUUUUGUGCACCUUUGCGUGGGUUGGAAGGCCGUAAAAAAGCCGGAAAGCCUACGAUCUCUAUCUACCUCCACCGUACGGUACUUAGAAUGUCAUGGCUUGCGAUAAGUCGCAAUC
rnacentral:misc_RNA from 1 species